AAUAUUGCGCAAUGUAGGGAACUCUGACGCAGCGACGCCGCGUGAGCGAUGAAGGUUUUCGGAUCGUAAAGCUCAUUCCGUGGGGAGUAAGGGCUUCGGAGUUGAUGGUACCUAAGGAGGAAGUCUAGGCUAACUACGUGCCAGCAGCCACGGUAAUACGUAGGGGGCAAGCGUUGGCCUGAAUUAUUGGGCGUAAAGGGUGCGUAGGCGGCCUUUUAAGUCAGGUGUGAAAGCCCACGGCUUAACCGUGGGAUUGAAUUUGAAACUGGAAGGCUUGAGUAUCGGAGAGGGUAGUGGAAUUCCCAGUGUAGCGGUGGAAUGCGUAGAUAUUGGGAGGAACACCAGUGGCGAAGGCGACUACCUGGACGAAAACUGACGCUGAGGCACGAAAGCUAGGGGAGCAAAC
rnacentral:rRNA from 1 species